CUCUGGGGGAUUAGUGGCGAACGGGUGAGUAGCACGUGAGUAACCUGCCCUGGACUCUGGGAUAACUUCGAGAAAUCGAGUAGCUAAUACCGGAUAGGACCUUGCACCGCAUGGUGUGGGGUGGAAAGUUUUUCGGUUUGGGAUGGACUCCCGGCCUAUCACCUUGUUGGUGAGGUAAUGGCUCACCAAGGCGUCAACGGGUAGCCGGCCUGAAAGGGUGACCGGCCACACUGGGACUGAAACACGGCCCAAACUCCUACGGAAGGCAGCAGUGGGGAAUAUUGCACAAUGGGCGCAAGCCUGAUGCACCAUCGCCGCGUGCGGGAUGACGGCCUUCGGGUUGUAAACCGCUUUUAUUAGGGAAGAAGCCUUCGGGUGACGGUACCUGCGAAAAAACGACCGGCUAACUACGUGCCAGCAUCCGCGGUAAUACGUACGGUCCGAGCGUUGUCCGGAAUUAUUGGGCGUAAAGAGCUCGUAGGCGGUUUGUCGCGUCUGCUGUGAAAACUAUAGGCUCAUCCUCUAGCCUGCAUUGGGUACGGGCAGACUUGAUUGGUGUAUGGGAGACUGGAAUUCCUGGUGUAGCGGUGGAAUGCGCAGAUAUCAGGAGGAACACCGAU
rnacentral:rRNA from 1 species